UGCGGAGGAUCCAAGCGUUAUCCGGAUUCAUUGGGUUUAAAGGGUGCGUAGGCGGAAUGAUAAGUCAGUGGUGAAAUCUCAGAGCUUAACUCUGAAACUGCCAUUGAUACUGUCAAUCUUGAGUACAUUUGAUGUGGGCGGAAUGUGUCAUGUAGCGGUGAAAUGCUUAGAUAUGACACAGAACACCGAUUGCGAAGGCAGCUCACAAAACUGUAACUGACGCUGAGGCACGAAAGCGUGGGUAUCAAACAGG
rnacentral:rRNA from 1 species